rnacentral:rRNA from 1 species
GACGAACGCUGGCGGCGUGCUUAAUACAUGCAAGUGGAGCGACGAACCAGGGCUUGCCCUGGGGCAGAGCCGCGAACGGGUGAGUAACACGUGGGUAACCUGCCUCGAUGACCGGGACAACCCGAGGAAACUCGGGCUAAUACCGGAUGUGCUCUCCUCACAUCAGUGGGAAGAGGAAAGGAAGCUUCGGCCUCCGCAUCGGGAUGGGCCCGCGGCCCAUUAGCUAGUUGGUGGGGCAAUGGCCUACCAAGGCUUCGAUGGGUAGCUGUUCUGAGAGGAAGAUCAGCCACACUGGGACUGAGACACGGCCCAGACUCCUACGGGAGGCAGCAGUAGGGAAUCUUGCGCAAUGCGCGAAAGCGUGACGCAGCAACGCCGCGUGCGGGAAGACGGCCU